UGAUAACCUAGCGGUCUAAUAAACAAGGGGAAACAAUCAGUUGUUGAUUCCUACAUCAUUAUGACGGUCAAAGUGCAUGUGGAAUAUUGUGGUGGAUGAGGUUAUGGACCUCGCUUCCAAGAACUUCGUCAACAGAUUCUGGCUGAGGUUCCGGAUGCUGAGGUCACAGGGACUGUGGGAAGAAGAACUUCCUUUGAAGUAACUGUUGGGGAUACACUUGUGUUUUCUAAACUGAAGUUGAAUGCAUUCCCAGUUGCAAGUGAUGUUAUUGCUUGCAUCAGGGAGGUUCAAAAGGGACAGAACCCCUCCAUCAUUGAGACUGGCGAGUCAGCUGGUUGUACCAUUCUGUAGUGUUAUGAAAACAUCAGCAUUGACAUUUCUUUGAAAGUUCUCGUGUUGUUACAUAUUUUAUAGCAGCAUUGAUGAAAGUUGAGGGAAAAGGUCAGAGAUCAUCCCUCUCUCUGGAAGGUUUUGCUGUUCAAAUUUGUAUCAACAUGUUUGCUUUCUGAAAUGCAUAGACUCAAUUAUUAAUUUGUAUCUUUGUAUGAAUGGGUAUUUAUAAAUGCUUAUUUUUAUUUUAGUGUAUGUGAUGUGUUUUAAAAUUAUGUAAGAGAGAACUUUACAAACCUGUACAUUACAUUCAUUGAACACCUGCAUUUUUCUUUGUAAUGAGUGAUUGCUUGAAAUGUCCUUUGUUGUUACGACUUGUAGUUUCUUUCGUUAAGUUCAGCUUUAAGCCUACAGUUUAGAUACUGUAACAUCAAUUAUACUACACAAUUUUCAUGUAUGCAUAAAAAAUGAAGAUACUUUUCA